rnacentral:rRNA from 1 species
CGGACGGGUGAGUAAUGUCCGGGAAACUGCCUGAUGGAGGGGGAUAACUACUGGAAACGGUAGCUAAUACCGCAUAACGUCGCAAGACCAAAGAGGGGGACCUUCGGGUCUCUUGCCAUCGGAUGUGCCCAGAUGGGAUUAGCUAGUAGGUGGGGUAACGGCUCACCUAGGCGACGAUCCCUAGCUGGUCUGAGAGGAUGCCAGCCACACUGGAACUGAGACACGGUCCAG